rnacentral:rRNA from 1 species
GGUGAGCGCUGGCGGUAGGCCUAACACAUGCAAGUCGAACGGCAGCACAGGAGAGCUUGCUCUCUGGGUGGCGAGUGGCGGACGGGUGGGGAAUACAUCGGAAUCUACUCUGUCGUGGGGGAUAACGUAGGGAAACUUACGCUAAUACCGCAUACGACCUACGGGUGAAAGCAGGGGACCUUCAAGCCUUGCGCGAUUGAAUGAGCCGAUGUCGGAUUAGCUAGUUGGCGGGGUAAAGGCCCACCAAGGCGACGAUCCGUAGCUGGUCUGAGAGGAUGAUCAGCCACACUGGAACUGAGACACGGUCCAGACUCCUACGGGAGGCAGCAGUGGGGAAUAUUGGACAAUGGGCGCAAGCCUGAUCCAGCCAUACCGCGUGGGUGAAGAAGGCCUUCGGGUUGUAAAGCCCUUUUGUUGGGAAAGAAAUCCAGCUGGCUAGUACCCGGUUGGGAUGACGGUACCCAAAGAAUAAGCACCGGCUAACUUCGUGCCAGCCGCCGCAGUAA